rnacentral:rRNA from 1 species
GGUAUCUAAUCCUGUUUGCUCCCCACGCUUUCGUUCAUGAGCGUCAGUAAUAGUUUAGUGAGCUGCCUUCGCAAUUGGUGUUCCAUGUCAUAUCUAUGCAUUUCACCGCUACAUGACAUAUUCCGCCCACUUCAUCUAUACUCAAGAAUAUCAGUUUCAAUGGCAGUUCUACAGUUGAGCUGUAGGCUUUCACCACUGACUUAAAAUUCCGCCUGCGAACCCUUUAAACCUAAUAAAUCCGGAUAACGCUUGCACCCUCCGUAUUACCGCGGCUGCUGGCACGGAGUUAGCCGGUGCUUAUUCUUACAAUACCGUCAAGUUGGUACACGUACCAAGGUUUCUUCUUGUAAAAAAGCAGUUUACAACCCAUAGGGCCUUCAUCCUGCACGCGGCAUGGCUGCAUCAGAGUUUCCUCCAUUGUGCAAUAUUCCUCACUGCUGCCUCCCGUAGGAGUCUGGUCCGUGUCUCAGUACCAGUGUGGGGGAUCACCCUUUCAGGCCCCCUAUCUAUCGUAGCCUUGGUGAGCUCUUACCUCACCAACUAGCUAAUAGAACGCAUGCUCAUCUAUAACCACCGGAGUUUUAAUUAUUAAAUGAUGCCAAAUAAUAAUGUUAUGAGGUAUUAAUCCAAAUUUCUCUGGGCUAUCCCUCAGUUAUAGGUAGAUUGCAUACGCGUUACUCACCCGUGCGCCACUCGUCAUCAAGAGCAAGCUCUUAUGUUACCGUUCGACUUGCAUGUGUUAGGCCUGCCGCUAGCGUUCAUCCUGAGCCAGGAUCAAACUCU